rnacentral:rRNA from 1 species
UGCCAGCCGCCGCGGUAAUACGGAGGGGGUUAGCGUUAAUCGGAAUUACGGGGCGUAAAGCGCGCGUAGGCGGAUUGGAAAGUUGGGGGUGAAAUCCCGGGGCUCAACCCCGGAACUGCCUCCAAAACUGCCAGUCUAGAGUUCGAGAGAGGUGAGUGGAACUCCAAGUGUAGAGGUGAAAUUCGUAGAUAUUUGGAAGAACACCAGUGGCGAAGGCGACUCACUGGACCGGUAUUGACGCUGAGGUACGAAAGCGUGGGGAGCAAACAGGAUUAGAUA